UUGCAGGCAUCAAAUGAAAGAUUGAUAAAGAAUCCAAGGACCAUUGGAAAAAAAGUGUGAUGUGUUGAGCAUUGGUUGGUCAUGUUCAUCGAUUGCAUGACUAAUUUAUUCAUUAACUGGUCCAGGGGGAGGCUGAGAAAAUUAGAGAGAGCAACAUAGGUUUGCGUGAACCUUGUGUCUCCAAAUUGAGAUAUUUUCCUUUUCAAUAAUUUGCUUUGUCCUAAUUAUUAUUUGUUAAGAGCAUUCAUUUAUCGGUAUGACCAUUCUGCACGUCGCACCAUCAUGGAUUAGUUCAAACAGUUAGAUGCAUGUUUGAGGUUUAGCUUGGUUCUUCUGAGUCUACUCUUUAUUUCACCAAUAUGGGGCUUGAUCCUUUCCCAGAGUCUCCAGAUGCAGGACAGUCUGGCUCAACAGGUGAACUUGGUCAUCCCAUUGAUGUUGCACCAAAAGAGGACCCUCAGGUACAACCCCCUGGUUCUUCCAUUGAUACUACUUCACAAGAUGACCCACAUGUCCAAUCUCUUAAUCCUUCCAUUGAUGCUACUUAGCAAGAGGUCCCUCUUACCACCCUUCUAUGCUCCGCCGGUCAGAACGGGAUUAUCACAAGAGAUGAUGUUGCAGGAAUUCAAGAGCUCAAGUCUCAUUUACAUCAGCAUUUUGAGAUGAAGGAUUUGGGCCCUCUAAGUUAUUUCUUAGGCCUGGAGGUGACUUGUGGCAAGGAUGGAUAUUACUUGUCCCAAAUUAAGUAUGCUUCUGAUUUGUUGUCGAGAGCACAGUUCACAGAUAGCAAAGUCACAUCCAGGCUUCUGGAUUAUAAUGUCGAGCUUACUCCUGCUAAUGGUAUCCUACUCUCUACCAUCAGCUGGUUGAAGGUCUCAUGUAUUUGACUGUCACCCAACCUGACAUCGCCUACUGUGAAUACUGUCAGUCAGUUCAUGGCAGCUCAAUGAUCAUCACAUUAUACAGCGGUUAUGCAUAUUCUCCGUUAUGUGAAGUGCACUAUGUUUCAUGGGUUGUGGUUUUCUUUUGACUCUUCUCUCCAGUUGCGAGCCUUUAGUGAUGCCAAUUGGGCUGGUGAUUCUACAGACCGCAGACCCACCACUGGAUAUUGCUUCUUUCUUGGAGAUUAACGCAUCUCUUCGAGGAGUAAGAAGCAAAUCGUAGCUCGCUCUAGCACUAAAGCGGAGUACCGUGUACUUGCAGAUACAGUGGCAGGACUACUUUGGCUUCGGCGAUUGUUAACAGACAUUGGGAUUCAUCAUGUCGAAGCCACCACACUUCAGUGUGACAAUCAGAGUUCCCUGCAGAUUGCUCAUAACGAUGUUUUUCACGAGCGGACCAAGCAUAUUGAGACUGAUGUCACUUUAUCCGUCAGCACAUUAUUAAUGGUUUGGUUCAUUUACAAUACGUCUCUUCGUAGGAACAACCCGCUGAUAUCUUUAAGAAACUCAUCCUCCAAGACGUUUUCAAAGCUUACUUCACGAACUCUAGAUGGUGUCCACUGCACCCUCUUGAGUUUGAGGGGGGUUGUGAAUGUAUAUGUAUAUGUAUAUGUAUAUGUGCAUUAGUCUAGAUUCGUCUAUGACUGAUUCUUAGUGUAUAUUAGGUAGGAUUUGAUUUUGCGUAAUUGAUUGUGUAGAUGUAUUUCCUUAUAUAUGAUCGAGCUCCACACUAUAAAAUUGGAGGCUCUCAUUGUAUUUCAGAUGUCAACAAUUGAAUACAUAAUUUUCCUCUCAA